ensembl:lncRNA
GUAAGGCUUCCCAGAAGAAGUGGCAUUUGAGAAGCGCCUUCAAUAAGGACCAGUGUCAUCACUGGAAGUGGAACAAUUAGAAAGGGGGUUUGGAUCAGAUGUGUGAGAGUCUUCAAAUACCUGGCCUAGAAGUCAGGCCUCCGUCGUCCUCGUGCGUGUUUGGAAACGUUUACUGGUUCCUUGGUUUAUCGCGCUAUCUGAGUGGUUGGCCCUUCAGUGCCAGUGGAGCCAGCGGUGCACUAGGAUCUCCCGUUAGUGCCUUCAGGCCCGCCGGGAACCUUCCUCUGCACUGCCCUGAUCCCCAGGAGGCUGACCCAUGCAGACUGCAUCAGCUGGGGUGCUGGUUGUGUGUGUGCAUGCCCCGUCACGGAGUUGCGUCUGACCCUUUGUGACCCCAGGGACUGUAGCCCACCGGGCUCCUCUGUCCAUGGGGAUUUCCCAGAUGCAGAGUUCUAAGCCUGGGUCCCUGAAUCACCAUGUGGAGCGAAGCUGCCUGCCAACUAGAAUCACCAGCAUUGGAGCAUGGGGUCCACCCUAGGGGACUGCAGCUGACUCAAGUGGACCAGUGAAAGGAUGAGCGCCAUGCUGCUCUUGGAUGUCUUUCCAGAGGGUGGAUAUACAUUACUCUCCACUGCCUAAUUGUCCCUGAAGAAGGAAACCGAAAGGUCUUGUGGAAGUUAUUGCCUUGACAUGUUGACUGAGCUAUUUCCCCUCCAGGAUUUGUAUUGGUGAUCUGAAGAAGCUUGUAAGACCCAGAAGCCUCUGUGUUAUUGCAGCUUAGAAGCUGCAAUAACAGGCCAGGAUCAGGGUUCAAAUCCCCACUCUGACUCUUCCUGGCUCCAUGACACUGGACCAAUGACUUCACCUCUCUGUGCCUCAGUUUCCUCAUCUGUAAAGUGGGACCCCUUCCACCAGUCGUGGGACUCCUGAGGCAGAAUCGCACCUGCUUCACUUCGGGCCUCAAGCACAGACCUGGAGUUGACACCCAAGCCCCGCUCCUGCAGGACUUGACAUUUAUCCCCUGUCUUCCAACACCUUGUCGUGGAGGAAGAAGGACGUCUAUAGGAAUGAGACCUGUGCCACUGGGGCUUUGUGAGGGGGAGCCCUGACAUCUUAGAGAUGCCCUGAAAGCCCGGCUACAGAGAAAUCUCCUGGGACACAACAAGUUCUCAGUGACUGACGACGACUCCUAUGCUUCUGCUCUUCAGAUGGUUGAAUGAGUUUGGGACAUGUUGCAUGAUGGAGCAUUCUUCAAGAUUCUUGAUGCAGAGCGAGAUAAUACAGAUGCUGGUCACAUGGACAUAUUUUGCUUCUGGAAGUUGGGCUCUGAGCUUUCCCUGUCUCUGAACUCUCUCCAGUGCCAAUAACUCAGGGCUUGUCACAUGAUAGACGCAUGCAUGUGUGUGCACGCUAAGUUGCUUGCUUUAGUCGUGUCCAACUGUUUGCGAACCCGUGGACUGUAGCUGGCCAGCCUCCUCUGUCCAUGGGAUUCUCCAGGCAAGAAUACCCCCUGGAGUGGGUUGCCAUGCCCUUCUCCAGAGGAUCUUCCCAACCCCGGGAUUGAAGCUGCGUCUCUUAAGUCUCCUGCAUUGGCAGGAGGGUUCUUUACUAGUGACACCUGGGAAGCCCCCACAGAUGCACAGUAAACGCUGAAUGGAUCAGCAUCCUUUCUCCAGUCUCAAUCUCCUUAUUUGCUAACUCCUCCUCACUUUCCCAUUUUCCCUGCCUCAGAUUGUCUCCUUUUCCUGGCCUCCGCCUUCUGCCCUUCAGCACCCCCUUGUGGUCUCUAAGCACAUCACGACCUUAGCUGUCUCUGCAGUGAUCCAGGCCUCCAUCAUGCUUGUCUAACUGGCUCUGUCUCCAGAGACACUGCCCGCAUGCAUUCCAAACCCAGCAGGGACACUGUUGCCUGCUCCGUGCCAGCUCCUUAGCCAGACAUUCAAGGCUCACUACCUCCUAGCCCUAUGGGGGUGGUCUGGUCCCCAGGUAGAAUCUAGG